rnacentral:rRNA from 1 species
GACGAACGCUGGCGGCGUGCCUAAUACAUGCAAGUAGGACGCAGUUGCGUACGGGAGAGUAACGCGUAGGUCACUACCUGGUAGAGGGGGCGAACUAUUGGAUACGAUAGCUAAUACCGCAUUCUAGUAGAUGGACCUGCUUUGUAUUAGCUAGUAGGGAGGUUAAGGGCCUACCUAGGCGAAGAUACAUAGCCGACCUGGGAGGGUGAUCGGCGACACUGGGACUGAGACACGGCUCAGACGCCGUCGGGAGGCAGCAGUGGGGAAUCUUCGGCAAUGGGGGGAAGCCUGACCGAGCAACGCCGCGUUAGUGAAGAAGGUUUUCGGGUCGUAAAGCUCUGUUGUUAGGGAAGCGGUACUUAACCAGAAAGGGACGGCUAACUACGUGCCAGCAGCCGCGGUAAUUC